rnacentral:rRNA from 1 species
CUACGGGUCGCUCCAGCAGGGAAUAUUGCACAAUGGGCGGAAGUCUGAUGCAGCGACGCCGCGUGGAUGAUGAAGGCCCUCGGGUUGUAAAAUCCUUUUCAGGGGGACGAGGAAGGACGGUACCCUUGGAAUAAGCGUCGGCUAACUACGUGCCAGCAGCCGCGGUAAGACGUAGGACGCAAGCGUUAUCCGGAUUUACUGGGCGUAAAGCGUCUGUAGGCGGAAUGGUAAGUUGGACGUGAAAGCUCCGGGCUCAACCCGGAGAGGUCGUUCAAUACUGCCAAACUAGAGGGCAUCAGAGGAGCGUGGAAUUUCCGGUGUAGCGGUAAAAUGCGCAGAUAUCGGAAGGAACACCAAUGGCGAAGGCAGCGCUCUGGGAUGAACCUGACGCUAAGAGACGAAAGCUAGGGGAGCGAACAGGAUUAGAUACCCGAGUAGUC